rnacentral:rRNA from 1 species
AUUGAACGCUGGCGGCAGGCCUAACACAUGCAAGUCGAACGAGUGGCGGACGGGUGAGUAAUGUCUGGGAAACUGCCCGAUGGAGGGGGAUAACUACUGGAAACGGUAGCUAAUACCGCAUACCAUCGGAUGUGCCCAGAUGGGCUUAGCUAGUAGGUGGGGUAAAGGCUCACCUAGGCGACGAUCCCUAGCUGGUCUGAGAGGAUGACCAGCCACACCGGAACUGGGGAACGGUCCAGACCCCUACGGGAGGCAGCAGUGGGGAAUAUUGCACAAUGGGGGCAAGCCUGAUGCAGCCAUGCCGCGUGUAUGAAGAAGGCCUUCGGGUUGUAAAGUAAUUUCAGCGAGGAGGCGUUACUCGCAGAAGAAGCACCGGCUAACUCCGUGCCAGCCGCCGCGGUAAUAC